AGCAGGGAAGAGAAAGAAGCGGGUCUAAGAGAUGUAGGAAUGGGAACAUGAAGAAAAUCAACUGUAAUGCUCCUCUACUAUUGGAGGGGAGAAACGUUCUGAUGUUUCUGAUGCCUCCCAUUCCUAUGGAUCUUAGGUUCUCCUUCCUCUCACUUUUUGCU
rfam:Triticum aestivum genome assembly, contig: Triticum_aestivum_CS42_TGACv1_scaffold_425192_5BS